CAAGACCUAGUGGCGGACGGGUGAGUAACACGUGACCAACCAACCUCGAAGUUGGGAAUAGCUCUGCGAAAGCAGGGGUAAUACCGAAUGUGGCCCGGCGCGGACAUCCGCACCGGUCUAAAGAUUUAUCGCUUCGAGACGGGGUCGCGGCCUAUUAGCUUGUUGGUGGGGUAACGGCCUACCAAGGCGAUGAUGGGUAGCUGGUCUGAGAGGACGACCAGCCACACUGGGACUGAGACACGGCCCAGACUCCUACGGGAGGCAGCAGUGAGGAAUCUUCCGCAAUGGGCGAAAGCCUGACGGAGCAACGCCGCGUGUGGGAUGAAGACUCUAGGGUUGUAAACCACUGUCGGAGGGGACGAUCGUGACGGUACCCUCCAAGAAAGCCCCGGCUAACUACGUGCCAGCAGCCGCGGUAAUACGUAGGGGGCGAGCGUUAUCCGGAUUUACUGGGCGUAAAGCGCGUUAAGGCGGAUGGCCAAGUUGGCGGUGAAAUUUCGGGGCUCAACCCCGAAACUGCCGCCAAAACUGGUCGUCUAGAGUAUGGGAGAGGAAGGUGGAAUUCCGGGUGUAGUAGUGAAAUGCGUAGAUAUCCGGAGGAACACCAGCGGCGAAGGCGGCCUUCUGGCC
rnacentral:rRNA from 1 species